rnacentral:rRNA from 1 species
GACGAACGCUGGCGGCGUGCUUAACACAUGCAAGUCGAACGGAAAGGCCUGCUUUCCCUUGUGGAUUGCGGGUACUCGAGUGGCGAACGGGUGAGUAACACGUGAGUGAUCUGCCCCCAACUUGGGUAUAAGCCUGGGAAACUGGGUCUAAUUCCCGAUAGGACUGCAGGGUGGUGCCUGUGGUGGAAAACGAUUUUCUAGUGGUUGGGGAUGAGCUCGCGGCCUAUCAGCUUGUUGGUGGGGUAAUGGCCUACCAAGGCGGCGACGGGUAGCCGGCCUGAGAGGGGGGACGGCGACAUUGGGACUGGGAUACGGCCCAGACGCCUACGGGAGGCAGCAGUGGGGAAUAUUGCACAAUGGGCGGAAGCCUGAUGCAGCGACGCCGCGUGGGGGAUGACGGCCUUCGGGUUGUAAACUCCUUUCGACCGCGAGGAAGCCACCUGGUUGGAAGGGUGGUGACGGUAGUGGUAGAAGAAGCACCGGCUAACUACGUG